GGUCAAUUCCUAAAAAUGAGGUGCCCUGCUGAGCUCCUAGGGCUGUUAAUGCUCUGUAUCCCUGGAUCCAGUGGGGACAUUGUGAUGACCCAGACUCCACUCUCCUUGCCUGUCACUCUUGGAGAGCCAGCUUCCAUCUCCUGCAGGUCUAGUAAGAGUCUCCUGCAUAGUGAUGGAACCACUUACUUAUAUUGGUAUCUGCAGAGACCAGGCCAGUCUCCACAGCUCCUGAUCUAUAAGGGUUCCAACAGGGCCUCUGGAGUCCCAGACAGGUUCAGUGGCAGUGGCUCAGGGACAGAUUUCACACUCAAAAUCAGCAGAGUGGAGGUUGAGGAUGUUGGAGUUUAUUUCUGUUUGCAAGCUGUAGAAUGGCCUCACACAGUGAUACAGCCCUAA